rnacentral:snoRNA from 1 species
UCCAGUGGUUGUCAGCUGCCAGGCUGCCUGGUGCCUUGGCCAGUGUACACUGCUGGGAGAGCAAGUGCUGCCCUUCCUUGGGUCUGGCUCCGAGCACUGUUUUGGUGUGGGGGCUGCGUACCUUUGGAGCAGUGUGUUGCACCUCUGAGAGUGGAGUAGCUCCUCCUUGUGGAGUUGGUCCUAGUCUGGGUGCAAACAGU